AAGAUUUUAAGUUAAAAACAACUAUUAAUCUUCAAAAUUAAAAAUAAUAAAUUUUUUAUUAAAUCUUA
rnacentral:tRNA from 1 species